CGUAGUUGUGUGGCAGUGCGGAAUUCCAUUGUUCGUUUGGUGUUGCAGGUGAGUACAUAAUAGGAUAUCGUCUGCUCCCGCUGGAAUGCCAAUACGAAAGUCGAACAAAUGAGUAAAAUGAGAGAGCGUGAACAGCAGUGUCCUGAGGCAAAAGGAUUAUUGGCGGAUAUUGGAGGUCAAUUCACAUACAUGUACAUAUGUACGAUCUGCCAAAAACAACAAAACAAAGGGAUUUACUUAAAUUUCAUUUGGAUUUUUGGCCACAAUCUCCCACUGUACAACGAUGGAAAAUAAAAACAGAAACAACCGCAUCGAGUUGAAAGACGUCGGGGUUAAAGACAGUCGUGGCAAAAGAGUUAAAAAUCUCUACAAAGCCAUCAGGCGUAAGACAGCGCUAGCCAAAACAGACGUCUCCAGAUACAGAAAUAAGAGAAAAACUAAAUAAAGGCAAAGACACACAAUGUGGAAACUUCGACCAUAAGAAAUGUUUUGCUGACUAUGAUAAUCACCAUUUAAUUUGUUUGCCUCGACAGUAGCGCCAAGAGAACAGAAACGCAACCGACAACUACUACGACACCAACUGUAGGGAAAAAUCGAAAACAAAAAAUGCAAAAAUAAACAAAAUCGGUGACGCAGUGCGGUGACUGGGCGAAAACGGAAACAAGGGAACAAGGACAUCCCCGAUCCUGCGCCGGGUUUCUGGCUGGAGUGCCUGGCUGUCGCUGUAUCAUAUCGCUGAUGAAUUGGACAAAAGAAGGAAAUUACGGUUUUGCUGCCAGUUUGGAUCGGCGUUCGCAAACCAGAAAGAAGUAAAAGAGGAAAAAUUAUAAUUAUUACACGCUGGCAUGAAAGGGCUGCUGCGCUGGACACCAACAGGAAAUAUUUACAUACAUACUACAUAUGUUUGUAUGUAUGUAUGUAGGUGAGCAACGUUCAUUUCGUACCAAGAAAUGAUAAAUUUUUGCUUAAGAAACUUUUCCAAUUUAUAAAUGACAAAAUUAAAAAAAAAAAUACACACAAAUGACGCGAUUUAUUAAGCAACUCCAGCGCCGCAAAGACUA